rnacentral:rRNA from 1 species
UUUAUGGAGAGUUUGAUCCUGGCUCAGAGUGAACGCUGGCGGCGUGCCUAAUACAUGCAAGUCGAACGAUGAAGCUUCUAGCUUGCUAGAAUGCUGAUUAGUGGCGCACGGGUGAGUAACGCAUAGGUUAUGUGCCUCUUAGUUUGGGAUAGCCAUUGGAAACGAUGAUUAAUACCAGAUACUCCCUACGGGGGAAAGAUUUAUCGCUAAGAGAUCAGCCUAUGUCCUAUCAGCUUGUUGGUGAGGUAAUGGCUUACCAAGGCUAUGACGGGUAUCCGGCCUGAGAGGGUGAACGGACACACUGGAACUGAGACACGGUCCAGACUCCUACGGGAGGCAGCAGUAGGGAAUAUUGCUCAAUGGGGGAAACCCUGAAGCAGCAACGCCGCGUGGAGGAUGAAGGUUUUAGGAUUGUAAACUCCUUUUGUUAGAGAAGAUAAUGACGGUAUCUAACGAAUAAGCACCGGCUAACUCCGUGCCAGCAGCCGCGGUAAUACGGAGGGUGCAAGCGUUACUCGGAAUCACUGGGCGUAAAGAGCGCGUAGGCGGGAUAGUCAGUCAGGUGUGAAAUCCUAUGGCUUAACCAUAGAACUGCAUUUGAAACUACUAUUCUAGAGUGUGGGAGAGGUAGGUGGAAUUCUUGGUGUAGGGGUAAAAUCCGUAGAGAUCAAGAGGAAUACUCAUUGCGAAGGCGACCUGCUGGAACAUUACUGACGCUGAUUGCGCGAAAGCGUGGGGAGCAAACAGGAUUAGAUACCCUGGUAGUCCACGCCCUAAACGAUGGAUGCUAGUUGUUGGAGGGCUUAGUCUCUCCAGUAAUGCAGCUAACGCAUUAAGCAUCCCGCCUGGGGAGUACGGUCGCAAGAUUAAAACUCAAAGGAAUAGACGGGGACCCGCACAAGCGGUGGAGCAUGUGGUUUAAUUCGAAGAUACACGAAGAACCUUACCUAGGCUUGACAUUGAGAGAAUCCGCUAGAAAUAGUGGAGUGUCUGGCUUGCCAGACCUUGAAAACAGGUGCUGCACGGCUGUCGUCAGCUCGUGUCGUGAGAUGUUGGGUUAAGUCCCGCAACGAGCGCAACCCCCUUUCUUAGUUGCUAACAGGUUAUGCUGAGAACUCUAAGGAUACUGCCUCCGUAAGGAGGAGGAAGGUGGGGACGACGUCAAGUCAUCAUGGCCCUUACGCCUAGGGCUACACACGUGCUACAAUGGGGUGCACAAAGAGAAGCAAUACUGCGAAGUGGAGCCAAUCUUCAAAACACCUCUCAGUUCGGAUUGUAGGCUGCAACUCGCCUGCAUGAAGCUGGAAUCGCUAGUAAUCGCAAAUCAGCCAUGUUGCGGUGAAUACGUUCCCGGGUCUUGUACUCACCGCCCGUCACACCAUGGGAGUUGUGUUUGCCUUAAGUCAGGAUGCUAAAUUAGCUACUGCCCACGGCACACACAGCGACUGGGGUGAAGUCGUAACAAGGUAACCGUAGGUGAACCUGCGGUUGGAUCACCUCCUUUCUAGA